CCGCCAGACUCCUACGGGAGGCAGCAGUGGGGAAUAUUGCACAAUGGGCGAAAGCCUGAUGCAGCAACGCCGCGUGAAGGAAGAAGGCCUUCGGGUCGUAAACUUCUGUCCUUGGGGAAGAAGAACUGACGGUACCUGGGGAGGAAGCUCCGGCUAACUACGUGCCAGCAGCCGCGGUAAUACGUAGGGAGCAAGCGUUGUCCGGAAUUACUGGGUGUAAAGGGAGCGUAGGCGGGGAUGCAAGUUGGGUGUCAAAACUACCGGCUCAACCGAUAGUCGCACUCAAAACUGCAACUCUUGAGUGAAGUAGAGGCAGGCGGAAUUCCUAGUGUAGCGGUGAAAUGCGUAGAUAUUAGGAGGAACACCAGUGGCGAAGGCGGCCUGCUGGGCUUUUACUGACGCUGAGGCUCGAAAGUGUGGGGAGCAAACAGGAUUAGAUACCCGAGUAG
rnacentral:rRNA from 1 species